rnacentral:lncRNA from 1 species
UAUGCCAAACGUGAAAAGAAAAAAAUAGAAGAAAGAGAUGUUAGGGUUAUAUGGGUAAUUUGGAGAUUGUAUAAAAAUAUUAAGGGAAAAAACAUAAAAAUAUGGUCAACUUAAAACAGCUUAUAAGCUAAAAAAAAAAAGCACCCCUACCCCAGCUUUUAACUUUUGGCUUAAAAUAAGUUUUUUUUAACUUAAAAUAAGCUAUUUUGAGUAUUGUCAAACAGUUAAAUAAGUCAAAAACCAG